GGGAACGCGGGGGCCGCGCUCGCCUCGCCACCCCGGCAGGGACCCGCGGCCUUCGCCGCCCUUCCCGUGCCGGCUUGCGAAACCGGAUCGCUUCCCUUUUCCUGGAGACGCGUUCCCUUUUCUAAGAACGGCCCCGACGCGGGGAAGCGUCGCUGCACGCCCCCUCUCCCGCAGAGGGAUGUGCCCGAGGCAGGAGCGGCACCGGCGUCGCCACGGCAGGGAGGGGAUGGGAACGGGAGAGCGUCCGGUGCACCUGGCAGGCAGAAGAACACAUCCUUUUGCUAAAACCAGCUGUGGCUGGUACCACAGGGGCUGUGACAGGAAACCAGGCAAAGGCAAACUGGGUUUGCCCACAUCAGUUUGGGGAACACGAGCACCCCAAACUCGGGCCUGGAGGUUGGACAGCCCAGCCUCAACCUCUGGAUCCAGCCUCCUCCAGGGAGCUUUGCUUCCCCUGUGGCACCCACUUGCUGAGGAGCCAAAUGGACAGCACAGCAGGAAGCAGCACUAAACACAACAGGGGAGCCCAGCAUGGAUUGGCUAUAAAACUCUCUGCCUUCAUUUUAUUGCCUUUGGUAAAGCUUGGUAAAUAUUUCUGGGACAGGCAACUCCUUGUCUGGCUUUAAUUACCUGGGCAAAUUUUCCUAAGGAUUAUAUUGACCUCAAAUAUGUCAACGUUUA